rnacentral:rRNA from 1 species
GAAGAAGUUUUUCGUGUCGUAAAUCUCUUUUUUUAGGGAAGCACAAGUUAGUUAAUUUAUCUUUCUCCUUUGAUGUUACUUACCCAGAAAGCCAGGGUUAACUACGUGCCACCACCCGCGUUAUUACGUAGGUGCCAAGCUUUUUCCGGAUUUUUUGGGGGUAAAGGGCGCCCAGGCGGUUUUUUAAUUUGGAUGGGAAAGCCCCCGGUUCAACCGGGGAGGGUCUUUGGAACCUGGGGAACUGGAGUGCAAAAGGGAAAAGGGGAAUUCCAAGUUAAGCGUGGAAAGGCGUAGAGAUGUGGAGGAACACCAGUGGCGAAGGCGGCUUCUUGGUUUGUAUCUGACGCUGAGGCUCGAAACCUUGGGGAGCAAACAGGAUAAGAUAUCCUGUUAUUUCAGUCCGUAAACGAUUAAAGGGUAAGUUUUAGAGGGUUUCCGCCCUUUUAGUGCUGCUAGCUAAGGCCAUUAACCCCAUUUCCCCCCC